UAUUUGCCUCACUGCUGAGGCUGCAGGGAAGGCAGGAAACCUCUGGCCAUCUCCUCACACAUCCUCCUUAACCCCAUAUAAUGUUCACACUGGCCUUAUUGCAGGGCCCUGGGCCACUGAAUACAGCAGAGCAGGUUGUCCCAUGCACAAGGGUACUAGCAGGGAAGGUGAUGGAGCCCAUGUUACCCUUGCCGAGCAACAUAACCUGCCUAUGGCUAUCUCUCAGGAUGCCUUUUCCAAUUGCACAAAAGCACUAUUUGGGCCAGGACAACCCUGCCACUCCUCAAAAUUUGGGACCUUCCUUCUUGCUCUUCCUUCUGCCUGUCCCCUUCCCCAGCCAACUCUGAAUAUCAUCCAACCAGGUGCUUUCUCAUCUCUGAAAUCUCACUUUAGGUAUGAAUUCUUCAAGAAAGUCUUCCUCAAAAAAAAAAUGUAUGAAUGAUCAAUUAAACCUCUUUUGCCCAAAUUGCACCAUCUCCCCUGGAACUAAAUAAUUAUGUUAGAAUGUUACCUCUGUCAGGGCGGGGUCUUAUCUACCUUCUUUAUCAUAGAACGCCCUUCACUUAGCAGAGAGCUUUGUAUAAAUAUUCUGUUGAAAGAAUGUGUGGAUUUAGAGCUGGAGUCCUAUCCCAUAAACCACAUGAGCAUGACCCAAGGGCCUCUGCACCAACUUCCACCACCAUAGGCCAUGGCUGACUCCCUGACAGUAGCUUAGGGCACCUCACAAGCUACAGGCAGAGGAGGAGGGCAGUUUUCAGAGGAAUAUCCCACUUUUCUGAGGAGAACCUGCUUCAAAAAACUUCAGAAGGAGUUAAACAUCAAAAAGAAUGCUCUGAUGGACCCACUGGUGUGGCAGAAGGACCUGUUCAGCCAACAGUGAAAUCUGCCCGCCUGUGUCCACAAUCAUUCCCGAGAGCUCAGGAUUGGGAAUGCGAGGGAGGAUGGCUCUGGUGUGGAUCAAGCUCAGUCCUCAUAAUUGUCUGUCUUCUCGGUUACAGAAGAUGCCACUGCUGGUCCUGCACAAGCUACUGAGGACCCUGGGAGCUUGCAAUCUGAUGCACCCCAAGAGACAACCAUAGCAGCCCAGGAGACUUCGACGGCAGCCCAGGAGCCAACCACCAAGCAAAGAAAAAGUCUCCUGGGUAAGUCUCUGUCUCUAUAACAGAUACAAUCCAAAGAAAUCUCUGGCAGCAGGUCUACUAGAUGCCUCUGUGCACCAAGACAAGCCCAGAAAAAGCAGACAUCCAUUCAUUCACCUGAACACAAACCACGAAUGAGGUGAACACUGCACCCAAACACAGAGUCUCUGAAAUAGUAGAUUUUGCUGCCUGCACUAUACAUGGUUUCUUUCUGGCCCACUCACUUUCCUAUGAGAGAGAAGCUGGGCUCCUCAGCAAAACUUCUGCACUUGAAAUUUAUACAAGGAUAAUGGGAAGAGGGGAAAAGGGGAAGAGUUGGGAACUCUCUUUAAAUGACAUGGCUUUUCUGCUGAUGUGAUUCUUCUGCUCCAAAAUUAGAAUCCGUGAGAGAGAAAGGUAGAUCAGACCUAAAAAAUGUCAUUGAAAAAAGAAAAUGUGGAUGGAAUAAUUCAAAAGGCUAAAGGCAAGUGCAUCCGUAGGCAGAGCCUUGUGGGAACAGGAGUGCUCACCAGCCACCAGCCAGCUGGGGAGGUGGGAAAGCUCAUGCCCUCACCACCACCCUACACAGGAGAUCUGGGACUACCUCAGCCCCUCUCCAUUGAAAUUUCCUUCAUUUGGGCCUUCAAAUGGCUCAAAUUUCUCAUCCACGUUCAAAAUGCAUGGUUGUCUGAUACCAGAUGCCCCAAGCUUCCCACUGCAGAGUCUGCUUGCUCAUUUCUCUUCCUCUCACUCCUGCCCAGGUUGGGGGAUAGGGCUCAUCCUUUGGCCUCAGGUGAAUCUAAGCUCCCUCCUCUGACUUCUGGGUCAGGCCCUCAGGGUGCAGUGAGGUUGGACAGAAGACUGAGUUGAGGAUGGAAUGGGUGGGUGGGGCUUUAGGCCUGUCAAGCCUCAUUUGCAUCCCUGCUUUCUUCCAGAUGCUCUGAAGAACAUAUUGGAUCCAACCAAAAUGUUCGGUUGAGAAGCUGUAAAGAAUGGGAUCAGGGGACUUAACGCCUUAAUCAUGUAUACGGCUUAGAGCAAUUAACUUGGAAGCAUUCAA